rnacentral:rRNA from 1 species
GGGGAAUAUUGGGCAAUGGGGGGAACCCUGACCCAGCAACGCCGCGUGAGGGAAGAAGGUUUUCGGAUUGUAAACCUCUGUCCUUGGUGAAGAGGAUGAGACGGUAGCCAAGGAGGAAGCUCCGGCUAACUACGUGCCAGCAGCCGCGGUAAUACGUAGGGGGCGAGCGUUGUCCGGAAUGAUUGGGCGUAAAGGGCGCGUAGGCGGCUGUUCAAGUCUGGAGUGGAAGUCCUAUUUUCAAGGUAGGAAUUGCUUUGGAAACUGAGCAGCUUGAGUGCAGGAGAGGUUAUCGGAAUUCCCGGUGUAGCGGUGAAAUGCGUAGAGAUCGGGAGGAACACCAGUGGCGAAGGCGGGUAACUGGACUGCAACUGACGCUGAGGCGCGAAAGUGUGGGGAGCAAAC